rnacentral:rRNA from 1 species
GUAGGGAGCAAGCGUUGUCCGGAUUUACUGGGUGUAAAGGGUGCGUAGGCGGAUUGGCAAGUCAGAAGUGAAAUCCAUGGGCUUAACCCAUGAACUGCUUUUGAAACUGUUAGUCUUGAGUGAAGUAGAGGUAGGCGGAAUUCCCGGUGUAGCGGUGAAAUGCGUAGAGAUCGGGAGGAACACCAGUGGCGAAGGCGGCCUACUGGGCUUUAACUGACGCUGAGGCACGAAAGUGUGGGUAGCAAACAGGAUUAGAUACCCUGGUAGUCCACACUGUAAACGAUGAUUACUAGGUGUGGGGGGUCUAACCCCCUCCGUGCCGGAGUUAACACAAUAAGUAAUCCACCUGGGGAGU